rnacentral:rRNA from 1 species
AAACUUUACAAUGCGGGAAACCGUGAUAAGGGGACACCGAGUGCUAGCAUCAUAUGCUGGCUGUCCAGGUGUACACCUGUAGCAAGGGCCGGCAAGACCGGUGCCAGCCGCCGCGGUAACACCGGCGGCCCGAGUGGUGAUCGUGAUUAUUGGGUCUAAAGGGUCCGUAGCCGGUUUGGUCAGUCCUCCGGGAAAUCUAAUAGCUCAACUAUUAGGCUCCGGGGGAUACUGCCAGACUUGGAACCGGGAGAGGUAAGAGGUACUACAGGGGCAGGAGUGAAAUCUUGUAAUCCCUGUGGACCACCUGUGGGCGAAGCGUCGUACCCAGAACGGUUCGACGGUGAGGGACGAAAGCUGGGGGGCACGACCGGAUUAGAUACCCGGGUAGUCCCAGCCGUAAACGAUGCUCGCUAGGUGUCAGGUGGU